rnacentral:rRNA from 1 species
AUUGAACACUGGCGGCAUGCCUUACACAUGCAAGUCGAACGGCAGCACGGGAGCAAUCCUGGUGGCGAGUGGCGAACGGGUGAGUAAAGUAUCGGAACGUGCCCAGUCGUGGGGGAUAACGUAGCGAAAGUUACGCUAAUACCGCAUACGAUCUAUGGAUGAAAGCGGGGGAUCGCAAGACCUCGCGCGAUUGGAGCGGCCGAUAUCAGAUUAGGUAGUUGGUGGGGUAAAGGCUCACCAAGCCGACGAUCUGUAGCUGGUCUGAGAGGGCGACCAGCCACACUGGGACUGAGACACGGCCCAGACUCCUACGGGAGGCAGCAGUGGGGAAUUUUGGACAAUGGGCGAAAGCCUGAUCCAGCCAUGCCGCGUGCAGGAUGAAGGCCUUCGGGUUGUAAACUGCUUUUGUACGGAACGAAAAGGUUUGGGCUAAUAAGCUGAGCUCAUGACGGUACCGUAAGAAUAAGCACCGGCUAACUACGUGCCAGCCGCCGCAGUAA